rnacentral:rRNA from 1 species
UCCGUAGGGGGCAAGCGUUGUCCGGAUUUAUUGGGCGUAAAGAGCGUGUAGGCGGCUAGGUAGGUCCGUUGUGAAAACUCGAGGCUCAACCUCGAGCUGUCGAUGGAAACCAUCUGGCUAGAGUCCGGAAGAGGAGAGUGGAAUUCCUGGUGUAGCGGUGAAAUGCGCAGAUAUCAGGAAGAACACCCGUGGCGAAGGCGGCUCUCUGGUACGUGACUGACGCUGAGACGCGAAAGCGUGGGGAGCGAACAGG